rnacentral:rRNA from 1 species
CAGUCGCCGCGGUAAUACAGAGGGUGCGAGCGUUAAUCGGAUUUACUGGGCGUAAAGCGUGCGUAGGCGGCUUCUUAAGUCGGAUGUGAAAUCCCUGAGCUUAACUUAGGAAUUGCAUUUGAUACUGGGAAGCUAGAGUAUGGGAGAGGAUGGUAGAAUUCCAGGUGUAGCGGUGAAAUGCGUAGAGAUCUGGAGGAAUACCGAUGGCGAAGGCAGCCAUCUGGCCUAAUACUGACGCUGAGGUACGAAAGCAUGGGGAGCAAACAGGAUUAGAUACCCCAGUAGUCCCUGUCUCUUAUAA